CUUGGUGGUAAGAGCAUGAUGGCCCCACCCGUUCCCAUCCCGAACACGGAAGUGAAACGUCAUAGCGCUCACGAUACUGCACCUGCGAGGGUGUGGGAAAAUAGGUCACCGCCAGGG
rnacentral:rRNA from 2 species